AUUCAUGUUCUUAACUCUUUACACGUUCUUUAUGUCCCACUUUACUUUAGAUUUAGUCAUUGUCAUCAUUCUUUACAUCACUUUGAUCUGUCACCUCACACUAACUCUAGCGUCACUUUACUUUACAUUACCGAAUACCACUCAAUCUGUGUCAUGGUGUCACUCUGUUCUUUUGCCUCACUUAGGUACUCACAUUUUCUCUCAUGCAUACAUAUAGGGUUUUUUUUUUUUUUAACAUUCAUAAAGUUCUCAACCAUCACAUUUAGCAAGUUGUACUCACAAUCCUGCAACAUCACAUUUUUAUCAUUACUUUACCCUAAAAUACAUGCAUCAAUAUAUUUAUAU
rnacentral:lncRNA from 1 species